AUGUAUCAGAACAAAGCAUGGACUUUGGUGAACUUGCCCGAUGAUCGGCAAGCCAUUGAGAUAAAUGGAUCUUUAAGAAGAAGACGGACAUGGACGGUAAUGUUACCGUCUAUGAAGCUCGACUUGUGGCAAAGAGUAUUUUCACAAGUUCAAGGAGUUGACUACGAUGAGUUUUUCUCAUCCGUAGCGAUGCUUAGGUCCGUCGGAAUCAUGUUAGCAUUAGCUACAUUUAUGAAAUCUGGCAGAUGGAUGUCAAAACAAGUUUCCUUACCAAUUUUCGUAAGGAAAGGUUGUAUGUGA
rnacentral:rRNA from 1 species